rnacentral:rRNA from 1 species
CUUUCAAGUGAGUGGCGAACGGGUGAGUACACGUGGAUACCUACCUCAAGGUUGGGGAUAACAUUUGGAAACAGAUGCUAAUACCGAAUAAAACUUAGUAUCGCAUGAUACCAGGUUAAAAGGCGCUACGGCGUCACCUAGAGAUGGAUCCGCGGUGCAUUAGUUAGUUGGUGGGGUAAAGGCUUACCAAGACAAUGAUGCAUAGCCGAGUUGAGAGACUGAUCGGCCACAUUGGGACUGAGACACGGCCCAAACUCCUACGGGAGGCUGCAGUAGGGAAUCUUCCACAAUGGGCGAAAGCCUGAUGGAGCAACGCCGCGUGUGUGAUGAGGGCUUUCGGGUCGUAAAGCACUGUUGUAUGGGAAGAACAGCUAGAGUAGGGAAUGACUUUAGUUUGACGGUACCAUACCAGAAAGGGACGGCUAAAUACGUGCCAGCAGCCGCGGUAAUACGUAUGUCCCGAGCGUUAUCCGGAUUUAUUGGGCGUAAAGCGAGCGCAGACGGUUGAUUAAGUCUGAUGUGAAAGCCCGGAGCUCAACUCCGGAAAGGCAUUGGAAACUGGUCAACUUGAGUGCAGUAGAGGUAAGUGGAACUCCAUGUGUAGCGGGGGGAUGCGUA